CCUACGGGGGGCAGCAGUGGGGAAUAUUGCACAAUGGGCGCAAGCCUGAUGCAGCCAUGCCGCGUGUGUGAAGAAGGCCUUCGGGUUGUAAAGCACUUUCAGCGGGGAGGACGGCGGUGAGGUUAAUAACCUCAUCGAUUGACGUUACCCGCAGAAGAAGCACCGGCUAACUCCGUGCCAGCAGCCGCGGUAAUACGGAGGGUGCAAGCGUUAAUCGGAAUUACUGGGCGUAAAGCGCACGCAGGCGGUCUGUCAAGUCGGAUGUGAAAUCCCCGGGCUCAACCUGGGAACUGCAUUCGAAACUGGCAGGCUAGAGUCUUGUAGAGGGGGGUAGAAUUCCAGGUGUAGCGGUGAAAUGCGUAGAGAUCUGGAGGAAUACCGGUGGCGAAGGCGGCCCCCUGGACAAAGACUGACGCUCAGGUGCGAAAGCGUGGGGAGCAAACAGGAUUAGAUACCCUAGUAGUC
rnacentral:rRNA from 1 species